ensembl:lncRNA
GGUUGGGGCUUUCAUCAAGGUGUUUCUAUAGGUUGGGGGCUUUCAACAAGGUAAGUGUUUCUAUAGGUUGGGGGCUUUCAUCAAGGUGUUUCUAUAGGUUGGGGGCUUUCAACAAGGUUAGUGUUUCUAUAGGUUGGGGGCUUUCAUCAAGGUUAGUGUUUCUAUAGGUUAGGGGCUUUCAUCAAGGUGUUUCUAUAGGUUGGGGGCUUUCAUCAAGGUGUUUCUAUAGGUUGGGGGCUUUCAUCAAGGUGUUUCUAUAGGUUGGGGGCUUUCAUCAAGGUGUUUCUAUAGGUUGGGGGCUUUCAUCAAGGUGUUUCUAUAGGUUGGGGGCUUUCAUCAAGGUGUUUCUAUAGGUUGGGG